rnacentral:lncRNA from 1 species
AUGCUCUGUUUUCAAACAGAGCCAGUGCUUUGUUUUGUUUUUUUUAAUUAUUCUUUUUCUUUUUCUUUUCAUGUUUAGUUUUAUUUUUAAGAGCAAUGUUUCAUAUUUAGUUUUAUUUUAAUUAAGAGCAAUGUGUUUUGAGUUUGAGUUUUAAUUGAGAAUAAUGUUUUAAGUUUUAACUUUAGAGAAUUUUAUUUUGGUGGAGUGUUUUACUUUUAAGAUUUUAUUUAUGCUGAAAUUUUAAUUUCUUUUAUGCAAUACAUUAAAUCUUCUUUUAUGAAAUUUAUGUUUGCUUCAAUCCUCUUAGUUUCAUCCAUUUUAAUUUUAUGCCAGAGCUUUAUUUUUCAUUAAAAAUGCUUUUUGAAUUUAAAUACCUGUCUUUUAGUUAAUUUCAAUAAAAAAAACAUUCUCCGGUAGACUAGAGAAUCCAUCA